AGGAUAUUAGUUAAUUAAUUCAUAACAUUUAAAUUGCAUUUAAAAAUUAUUUAUAUAAAUAUAUCUUA
rnacentral:tRNA from 1 species